UAAUACAGAGGGUGCGAGCGUUAAUCGGAAUUACUGGGCGUAAAGCGCACGUAGGCGGCUUGGUAUGUCGGGUGUGAAAUCCCCGGGCUCAACCUGGGAACUGCAUCCGAAACUGCCUUGCUCGAGUAUGGGAGAGGGAAGUGGAAUUUCCGGUGUAGCGGUGAAAUGCGUAGAUAUCGGAAGGAACAUCAGUGGCGAAGGCGACUUCCUGGACCAAUACUGACGCUCAGGUGCGAAAGCGUGGGGAGCAAACAGGAUUAGAUACCCUGGUAGUCCACGCCGUAAACGAUGGAUGCUAGCCGUUGGCAGGCUUGCCUGUCAGUGGCGCAGCUAACGCAUUAAGCAUCCCGCCUGGGGAGUACGGUCGCAAGAUUA
rnacentral:rRNA from 1 species